rnacentral:rRNA from 1 species
GACGAACGCUGGCGGCGUGCUUAACACAUGCAAGUCGAACGGAAAGGCCCUGCUUUUGUGGGGGGCUCGAGUGGCGAAAGGGUGAGUAACACGUGAGUAACCUGCCCUUGACUUUGGGAUAACUUCAGGAAACUGGGGCUAAUACCGGAUAGGAGCUCCGGCUGCAUGGUGGGGGUUGGAAAGUUUCGUCGGUUGGGGAUGGACUCGCGGCUUAUCAGCUUGUUGGUGGGGUAGUGGCUUACCAAGGCUUUGACGGGUAGCCGGCCUGAGAGGGUGACCGGCCACAUUGGGACUGAGAUACGGCCCAGACUCCUACGGGAGGCAGCAGUGGGGAAUAUUGCACAAUGGGCGGAAGCCUGAUGCAGCAACGCCGCGUGCGGGAUGACGGCCUUCGGGUUGUAAACCGCUUUCGCCUGUGACGAAGCGUGAGUGACGGUAAUGGGUAAAGAAGCACCGGCUAACUACGUG